UACGUAGGGGGCAAGCGUUGUCCGGAUUUAUUGGGCGUAAAGAGCGUGUAGGCGGCCAAACAGGUCAGCUGUGAAAAACUCGAGGCUCAACCUCGAGACGUCGGUUGAAACCGUUUGGCUAGAGUCCGGAAGAGGAGAGUGGAAUUCCCGGUGUAGCGGUGAAAAUGCGCAGAUAUCGGGAAGAACACCCGUGGCGAAGGCGGCUCUCUGGGACGGUACUGACGCUGAGACGCGAAA
rnacentral:rRNA from 1 species